UUUCCUUACAUAUAUUUAAAAUUAAUAUGUAAUUAUUCUUAUAUUCAUCACCGUUAGUCAUUGAGUUUGUCUUAGCAUAUAACUUAAUUUAAAAGUUAUAGUUUCUGUAUUGAAUUUAUUUUAUUGAUAAUAUUAAAUUAAAUCUGUACUUGUGCGACUUUUUAACUCAAAUAUUACUUUUAAUGAUUUUUUUUUUUUCAUAAUUAGAUUUACACUGGUCAAAGUUAAAAAAAAGAAUUUUAAGUACUAAAAAUAUUUUUUAUCUAUGAAAUUAUAAUAUAACUGAACAGAAUAUGUAUAUAUUUAUAUAUAUAUGAAAAAGGUGGAAAUUCAUUCAGUUAUGAAAUAAACUAAAUCAUAAUAAAAAUAAAAAUAUUAAAUUAAUUUUAAAUAUCACACACUUAGCGUAUAAAUAGUAUUACCUAAUCAUAAUGUCAACA